rfam:Ovis aries breed Texel chromosome 7, whole genome shotgun sequence.
UCCCUGGUGGCUCAGAGGUUAAAGUGUCUGCCUCCAAUGCAGGAGACCUGGGUUCGAUCCCUGGGUUGGGAA